CCGACUCUCCCUCCAUCUUUCUUCUCUCCUGCAAAUCCCUAAACCUUUCACCUUUUCAACGGCGAUUUCCCCUCUUCUCGGUCGAAUAUCGGUUCUCGUCUGGGCUGACUGAGACCAUUCACCCCUUCAACGACGAUUUCCCCUCUUUUCGAUCGAAUAUUGCUUCUCGUCUGGGCUGACUGGCCAUUCAACUUGGGCAUUCCAAUUGUUGCUCUUAUUUUCAACGAGUGAAGUCGUCUGCUGUUCAUUGCAGUUAAGGUAAGUUCGUUAUCUAUUUCUUACAUUAUUCGGUAUGUUAGAUGUUUUCUGGGUCUUCAAUCUAAUUGCAGUUAAGGACAAUGAAACAUGGAUGCCUAAGUUGAUAGCAGCAGCUAGCUGUUCUUAACUUUGUAUGUCAAAAGCUGCAAUUAUAGUAGUAUUUACCCUUCAAAGUCAUGUUUUCUGUUGUAAUUACAGAAUAAGGCCAUUAAAGUCAGCAAUGUUUGUUUAGAAGCAACCGAGAAUUGUUUUCCUUUUCUGCUGAUAUUGAAUAUGUUUGAAAUGCAUAGGUUGAAAUUCAAAUAAUUUAGAUGAUGGUGAAUAAUUUAAAAAUAUAUAUGCAUAUAUUCCUCGUUGUAUAAUCAUGAUUCAUGAAAAUGAUAAGAGAGAUUGUGUGACUAUCUA